rnacentral:tRNA from 1 species
UAGCUCAGCUGGCAGAGCACCGGACUCUUAAUCCGGGUGUCCAGGGUUCGAUCCCCU